rnacentral:rRNA from 1 species
UACGGAGGGGGCUAGCGUUGUUCGGAAUUACUGGGCGUAAAGCGCACGUAGGCGGCUUUGUAAGUUAGAGGUGAAAGCCCGGGGCUCAACUCCGGAAUUGCCUUUGAUACUGGCGAGCUUGAGUUCGGGAGAGGUGAGUGGAACUGCGAGUGUAGAGGUGAAAUUCGUAGAUAUUCGCAAGAACACCAGUGGCGAAGGCGGCUCACUGGCCCGAUACUGACGCUGAGGUGCGAAAGCGUGGGGAGCAAACAGG